UCACAGUGUCCCAAGGUCAUUCAUCCACUUAUGCUCGCACAAAAGUGGAUGAAUGACCUUGGGACACGCCCCGAUAUGAGCAUAAAAGUGGAGCGUAAGCUUCACGAUAUGCGAAUGUUCGGGGAUGGAUUGCUAGAGUGCAAAGCACGAGCAAUCCAUG
rnacentral:sRNA from 1 species